rnacentral:rRNA from 1 species
UGAACGCUAGCGGCAGGCCUAACACAUGCAAGUCGAGGGGUAACAUAGAGUGCUUGCACUCUGAUGACGACCGGCGCACGGGUGAGUAACGCGUAUACAAUCUGCCUCAUACUAGGGGAUAGCCCAGAGAAAUUUGGAUUAAUACCCUAUAGUAUCAUUUAGAGUCAUCUCUUUAUGAUUAAAGGUUACGGUAUGAGAUGAGUAUGCGUUCUAUUAGUUAGUAGGUGAGGUAACGGCUCACCUAGACCACGAUAGAUAGGGGCCCUGAGAGGGGGAUCCCCCACACUGGUACUGAGACACGGACCAGACUCCUACGGGAGGCAGCAGUGAGGAAUAUUAGACAAUGGGCGAAAGCCUGAUCUAGCCAUGCCGCGUGCAGGAUGACGGCCCUAUGGGUUGUAAACUGCUUUUAUACAGGAAGAAAAAACUCUACGUGUAGAGUCUUGACGGUACUGUAAGAAUAAGGAUCGGC